rnacentral:tRNA from 1 species
UAGCACAUGCUGUUUGGAACAGUUCGAUUUUGAAAAUCAAACAUAGUGGUUCAACUCCACUGCAUUGC